GAUGAACGCUAGCGGCAGGCUUAAUACAUGCAAGUCGAGGGGCAACAGGGGUAGCAAUACCUGCUGGCGACCGGCAAACGGGUGCGCAACACGUACAGAACCUUCCUUUAAGCGGGGGAUAGCCCAUAGAAAUGUGGAUUAAUACCCCAUGGUAUUAUUGAUUGGCAUCAGUUAAUAAUUAAAGAUUUAUCACUUAAAGAUGGCUGUGCGUCUGAUUAGGUAGUUGGAGGGGUAACGGCCCACCAAGCCAACGAUCAGUAACUGGUGUGAGAGCACGACCAGUCACACGGGCACUGAGACACGGGCCCGACUCCUACGGGAGCAGCAGUAAGGAUAUUGGUCAAUGGACGGAAGUCUGAACCAGCCAUGCCGCGUGAAGGAUGAAGGCCCUCUGGGUUGUAAACUUCUUUAUCUGGGAAGAAAUGCCUGAUUUUGUAUUUGGGUUUGACGGUACCAGAGGAAUAAGCACCGGCUAACUCCGUGCCA
rnacentral:rRNA from 1 species